rnacentral:rRNA from 1 species
AAAUUGAAGAGUUUGAUCAUGGCUCAGAUUGAACGCUGGCGGCAGGCCUAACACAUGCAAGUCGAGCGGAAACGAGUUAUCAGAACCUUCGGGGAAGGAUAACGGCGUCGAGCGGCGGACGGGUGAGUAAUGCCUAGGAAAUUGCCCUGAUGUGGGGGAUAACCAUUGGAAACGAUGGCUAAUACCGCAUGAUGCCUACGGGCCAAAGAGGGGGACCUUCGGGC